rnacentral:rRNA from 1 species
GACGAACGCUGGCGGCGUGCUUAACACAUGCAAGUCGAACGGUGAAGGGGUCUGCUUUUGUGGGCCCUGGAUGAGUGGCGAACGGGUGAGUAACACGUGAGUAACCUGCCCCCUCCUUCUGGAUAACCGCAUGAAAGUGUGGCUAAUACGGGAUAUUCUGGGUCUGUCGCAUGAUGGGUCUGGGAAAGAUUGCGCCUUUGGGUGUUUUUGGUGGGGGAUGGGCUCGCGGCCUAUCAGCUUGUUGGUGGGGUGAUGGCCUACCAAGGCGGUGACGGGUAGCCGGCCUGAGAGGGUGGACGGUCACACUGGGACUGAGACACGGCCCAGACUCCUACGGGAGGCAGCAGUGGGGAAUAUUGCACAAUGGGCGCAAGCCUGAUGCAGCGACGCCGCGUGAGGGAUGGAGGCCUUCGGGUUGUAAACCUCUUUCGCCAGUGAAGCAGGCCUGCUCCUUGUGGGUGGGUUGACGGUAGCUGGAUAAGAAGCGCCGGCUAACUACGUG